ensembl:misc_RNA
AAGAAGCCUGAAUAUUGUAGUAUUCUAGCUUCAGAGAAGAUAAAACAUUAGUAAAGAAAAAGCAACCUUCUUCUACCUUGACCCCCUGGUGUGCUUUAACUGUGACCUCAAGAAGCCAUAUCUAGAUAGGAGAGGGAGUUCAGUUUCCUAGGCCCAUUCAAUUGUAAGCUCCU